rnacentral:rRNA from 1 species
GUGGGGAAUAUUGGACAAUGGGCGAAAGCCUGAUCCAGCCAUGCCGCGUGUGUGAAGAAGGUCUUCGGAUUGUAAAGCACUUUAAGUUGGGAGGAAGGGCAGUAAGUUAAUACCUUGCUGUUUUGACGUUACCGACAGAAUAAGCACCGGCUAACUUCGUGCGAGCAGCCGCGGUAAUACGAAGGGUGCAAGCGUUAAUCGGAAUUACUGGGCGUAAAGCGCGCGUAGGUGGUUUUGUAAGUUGGAGGUGAAAUCCCCGGGCUCAACCUGGGAACUGGCUCCAAAACUGAAUGACUAGAGUACGGUAGAGGGUAGUGGAAUUUCCUGUGUAGCGGUGAAAUGCGUAGAUAUAGGAAGGAACACCAGUGGCGAAGGCGACUACCUGGACUGAUACUGACACUGAGGUGCGAAAGCGUUGGGAGCAAACAGUAUUAGAAACCCGAGUAGUCC